UCCGUGUUAACCACGGCAGUCUCCUUAGAGUGCCCAACUUAAUGCUGGCAACAAAGGACGAGGGUUGCGCUCGUUGCGGGACUUAACCCAACAUGUCACCACACGAGCUGACGACAGCCAUGCAGCAUCUGUCUCUCUGUAGUAUUGCUACUAAAAUUACAUUUCUGUAACGGUCAGAGGAUGUCAAGCCCAGGUAAGGUUCUUCGCGUUGCUUCGAAUUAAACCACAUGAUCCACCGCUUGUGCGGGCCCCCGUCAAUUCCUUUGAGUUUUAAUCUUGCGACCGUACUUCCCAGGCGGAGCACUUAACGCGUUAGCUACGACUCGGCGGGGGUCAAGACCCACCAAACCUAGUGCUCAUCGUUUACAGCGUGGACUAC
rnacentral:misc_RNA from 1 species